AUCAAAAUCUCCUUCCAUUUUGGGACCUAUUUCUCAAGACUCAUAGGCUAAAGGACUCAUACGAGUUAUGUUCACAACAAGCCAAAGAAAUUGAGGAGAGAGUUUUGGCAAGGGCUGAAGAGUUGCGUGCUGAAGGGGAAGAUCCAGAUUACGAUGCAAUCUUUCUCGAGCUUUUUGGGAGGGUUAAGAAAAGGAAACAGGUUUCUGGAGCUGGGCAAGCGACAAGCUUGUAUUUUCCAUGUGCUACCAACUCAGCUGCGGGCUCUGCAUCUUCCGGCUCGUCUGGCCUCAGCACUGAGCAGGUUGAUGAGCUUCUCAAGCGACGAGUACAGCCUUUGCAUCAAGAGAUCGAAGAAUUGCGAGAGCUAGUAAAAGUCCUCAGUUAGCAAGUUCAAGAGUCUAGAAGAAGUGGCUAGUAGUAUUUGAACUAAAUUGUGGAAACUAGUAGUAUUUGAACUUAAUUUGUAAUUUGAUUGAAUUGAAGUGUGAAACAAUAUUUUGUAUCUAUGUAAAUUUUGAAUUUUCGUCAUUCAAUUGAGUUAUUUCAUACUA